rnacentral:rRNA from 1 species
UACAUGGGGUGCAAACGUUGCUCGGAAUUAUUGGGCGUAAAGCGCGCGUAGGCGGUUACUCAAGUCGGAUGUGAAAGCCCUCGGCUUAACUGAGGAAGUGCACCCGAAACUGAGUAGCUAGAGUACUAAAGAGGGUCGCGGAAUUCCCGGUGUAGCGGUGGAAUGCGUAGAGAUCGGGAAGAACAUCGGUGGCGAAGGCGGCCAGCUGGGCCAUUGCUGACGCUGAUGCGCGACAGCGUGGGGAGCAAACAGG